AUUUCUUCUUCUUCUUCUUGUUCUUCAA
rnacentral:sRNA from 1 species